GAUGAACGCUGGCGGCGUGCCUAAUACAUGCAAGUCGAGCGAACAGAUGAGGAGCUUGCUCCUCUGACGUUAGCGGCGGACGGGUGAGUAACACGUGGAUAACCUACCUAUAAGACUGGGAUAACUUCGGGAAACCGGAUCUAAUACCGGAUAAUAUAUUGAACCGCAUGGUUCAAUAGUGAAAGACGGUUUUGCUGUCACUUAUAGAUGGAUCCGCGCCGCAUUAGCUAGUUGGUAAGGUAACGGCUUACCAAGGCAACGAUGCGUAGCCGACCUGAGAGGAUGAUCGGCCACACUGGAACUGAGACACGGUCCAGACUCCUACGGGAGGCAGCAGUAGGGAAUCUUCCGCAAUGGGCGAAAGCCUGACGGAGCAACGCCGCGUGAGUGAUGAAGGUCUUCGGAUCGUAAAGCUCUGUUAGUAGGGAAGAACAAAUGUGUAAGUAACUAUGCACGUCUUGACGGUACCUAAUCAGAAAGCCACGGCUAACUACGUG
rnacentral:rRNA from 1 species